rnacentral:rRNA from 1 species
GAUGAACGCUGGCGGCGUGCUUAACACAUGCAAGUCGAACGGACUUUACAUGAAGCCUAGCGAAUGUAAAGUUAGUGGCGGACGGGUGAGUAACGCGUGAAUAACCUGCCUUAUACUGGGGGACAACAGUUGGAAACGACUGCUAAUACCGCAUAAGCGCACAGUGCUGCAUGGCACAGUGUGAAAAACUCCGGUGGUAUAAGAUGGAUUCGCGUCUGAUUAGCUAGUUGGUGAGGUAACGGCUCACCAAGGCGACGAUCAGUAGCCGGCCUGAGAGGGUGAACGGCCACAUUGGGACUGAGACACGGCCCAAAACUCCUACGGGAGGCAGCAGUGGGGAAUAUUGCACAAUGGGGGAAACCCUGAUGCAGCGACGCCGCGUGAGUGAAGAAGUAUUUCGGUAUGUAAAGCUCUAUCAGCAGGGAAGAAAAUGACGGUACCUGACUAAGAAGCCCCGGCU